rnacentral:rRNA from 1 species
CCUACGGGAGGCUGCAGUAGGGAAUAUUGGACAAUGGGUGCGAGCCUGAUCCAGCCAUGCCGCGUGCAGGAAGAAGGCGUUAUGCGUUGUAAACUGCUUUUGCCAGGGGAUAAAAUAACUGUGCGCAGUUGAUUGAAGGUACCUGGUGAAUAAGCCACGGCUAACUACGUGCCAGCAGCCGCGGUAAUACGUAGGUGGCAAGCGUUGUCCGGAUUUAUUGGGUUUAAAGGGUGCGCUGGCGGUCAUGUGAGAAAUAUGUCAGCGUAACUGAGAGGCUGCCAUUGAUACUGCUGGGCUUGAGUACAGAUGAGGUAGGCGGAAUUGACGGUGUAGCGGUGAAAUGCAUAGAUAUCGUCAAGAACACCGAUAGCGAAGGCAGCUUACCAAGCUGUAACUGACGCUGAGGCACGAAAGUGUGGGGAUCAAACAGGAUUAGAUACCCUUGUAGUC